CAUUAUUGUGCUGAAACUUUUUACAUGAAUGUAGCAUAAAUUUGAUUUCUGAAAAUCCAGACUAAAAAUAACUGUUGAGAGAGUUAUUUUCAGAUCAAUUUGAAAUGCACUUACAUAUUACAGCUAAACUGACAUAUUAUAUGCCAAAAAAUGAUCUUCAUAACGUCUUGUCCAGCCUCAUUCAUUCAUUUUCUGGCAUCUAACCCUGAGACAAGGGAUCUAAAAAGACAGAUAGUGUAUUUUCUGGGAUCUUUGUCCAAAGCGUUAACAAUCAGAAAGGACAGAGAGCAGGAUGUAAGAGUCAAACAGGGAAAGGAGGGAAACUAAAAGUGGAACAACAGCUGUUAGAUACUAAGCAGAUUUUAAAGCAUAGUGAAUACUUCGACCAGCCUGAGACUGCAGAGAUCAGUGACAGAAGGACAAUGAGCAGUCAGAACUGGAAUCAUGAAGAAUUUCUGAGGUCCAAACUAAGCCCGUACCAUAUGAACCUGUGGGCACAGGAAAUGAACUACUAACCCUACAGGAACUGAAUGUUCUACUCUUAGGCAUUUUUUAGAAAUGACUCCAGUGUCCUCUGUCCUGAAGAGCACUGAUUUCAUCACUCCAAGGCCAAAUAAGGCACAUUUACUUUUUAAAUGCUUAUCCUUCUGUUCCCUGUAGGAAUAUUUCAAUCAAAGGUUUUUCUGGCUCUGAUAUGAAACAAUUUAUUCCUUGACGGCAAAGAGUAUAUUCAAGAGUCAUUUGUAUUUAGAAGACUUAAUACAAAAAUGACACAACAAAGUUUUGUGUUCAUACCAGUUCUGAUAGAGGAAAACGAUUAAAUAAAUUCCUAGUACAAGCGAUUUUCAUUCAGUUGAGGCUCCGGAGAAGUAGGAGCUGCUUGCCAUGUAUGAACUAAUCUAUAACUAGAAGCCUGAGGAGAAUCAACUCAAUGCCUCCAGUGACUGCUCUUUCUGCGUCAGGUGGCAACACUGUCACUAAAUUAGAAGGAAGAAGCUCCAAGAAAUCCAGCUGAGUAUGUGUGGAGAAUAUCUGUGCACUUUUGGCACCACCACCACCAAUAAUUUUUCUUUUCUUUUCCCAUUGUCUAGAUUCUUUCAGCUCAUUACAGCCACAUAAGAUGUAGAGCCAGUCAUAUAUGAAACUCAUGGUCUCAUGGUGUUAAUCUGUCCCACAGACAGAUGUCCAAAAAAGAAAGAAGAGGGCACAAAAAUGAAUAAAUAAAUAAAUAGAUAGAUAAAUAGAUAGAUAGAUUCUGGAGGAUGGUAUGAACAAGUUGUAGAUUUUAACUUGUAGGUAUUUAUAUUUCUUAAUGACUCAAACUUCAAUUUCUUUCAACUUAAAAGUUUUAAAAUCUAAUAACAUAUAUAUACACAUACAUAUAUUUGUCUGACAAUGCUGGAGAAUUUUAAAUUUGAAAGUAUUAUUACGAUAGUCUGAAAAACAGCCAUACUUUAGAGGGUUUUUUUGGACUGUUUCAGUUAAGAAAAGUAGUCAAUGAUGGGGUCAUGCAUUUAUUUGACACAGCCAUUUUCAUUCACUAAAAAUAAAGAAAGUGCUGUUUCUCUGAGAACAGGAAUAAACAAAUUACAGGAGACAAGUUCUGUGCUCAAAUCCUCAAGGGCUGUUCAGACAGGAGCUGACCUAAGCCUUCCCUUUGGGUUCCUUUCAGGACAACAUGUAUUUUGCUUUCCACUAGCUGUGUUCAUACUGUCUAGUUGACAUGAAAAGCUUCAUGAGAUUUUCUUCAAAAGUACAUAUUAGUAUAAUCAUAAGUGAGGUAUAAAGACUAAAUAAGCAGAAACCUUUUUCUAUACUUCUAUUCUUUCUGAAUGUUGUUCCUUGAAUACUGAACAGAACUGCUAUUUUUAGGCUUGUAAACACUCAGCUGCAUGUUAUCUUAUAGCUUCCUGAUCACUUACUGACAGCUUUUGAUUUACUUUACGGCUUUUUUUUUUUUAUUUUAUUUUAUGGAGUUUUAUUUGUGCAAAAAUAACAAUAAUAAUAAAAAUAAAAAAUAAAAAAGAACAUAAGUAAAGACAUAAAACACAAAUGAGCAAGCAGCACUCUUCAGUUUGCACAUACUGUAACCUAAAAUGUAGUGACAACAAUAAGCAAUACAUUGUCAAAGUAGGUUUUUUUUUUUUUUUUUAAUCCCAUUCCAGGGUGCACAAAUGGGACAUCCUAUUUAGUAAUGGUGCAUUAGCUCUCUUCAUAACAAUAAACACAAAGUGGGGCUCAGGACACAAAAUCUUUUAAUCACAUUGGAUAGCUCUAGAAGAUAAGGAAUAAAUGAACAAAACAAAAAAUACAACAAACACAUCCAUUCUGAUAACUUUUUUUUUUUUUUUUUUUUUUUUUGAGCUAUUCUGUAAACAAUGAUCUGUGCCAGAUGUGCGACAGCAACAGUAUCUCCCUCCAUUCACUUAUGCGGGGAAAUAAGCUGUCAUUUGUCUCCUUUGUGGCUGAAUACUGAAGCUGCCUUACUCUUUAUUCAGCAAAUUACAUUCUUUAACAUCCCAGUGCGAAGUCCUACUGAAAAAAAAAAAAAAAAAAAAAAAAAAAAGGGCAUAAAGAAGAAAGUUAUUAUCACAAAAUGAAAUUGGAAACAAUGCCUACUCUUCAUGAAAUGUUCUGUCAUAAUGAAUUCUCUUUGUCAGAAAAAUCAGGAAUUCGCACAAUGGGCAGAUAUCAGUACAUGAGAACUCUCUAUUGGUGUAUUAAUCAUUAUUUAGACUGCUUCUAAUAUGAUAUAUGAAUGCAAUCAAUCGCAUACAUUUUGUCUCAAUAUAUUCUUCAGCCUCGUGAGUUGAAGGUAAAGCCUUUUAUGCAAACCAUUAAUGUAAAUGGUUUUCAUAAUUUGGAACACUUAUCCCUUGUACCAGUGUAAGCCUUGGGCCACAAAAGUGAUUUCAUAUAUAUAUAUUUUUAAUUACUUCUUCCAUUCACAGCAUUAGGCGAUACUUCAGAAAAAAAUACAUAUAUUUUAAGAAACACAAGCUUUUCCCAUCCAUUGCACUGAAAAAAAUUACAAGGACACCUUACUAAAUGUAUGUGCUACCAAAGUACUCAAUGGAAGUACAUUCAUGUUAAAAAAAUUGACUUAUUAUGUGCACAGGAUAGCUCAACACUAACUGCAGCAUUUAUUGUAAUUUCAGAGGCACAUAAGUUUUAAGUGAAAUUUGAAAUGAAAACCUUGUGAAAUUACUCAUUUUUCUAAUUCUUUCAGCACCAACUUUAUGAUGUCUAGUACAAAUACCAUAUUAGACCAUAGCAGUAAGUGUGCAAGCUAGCAAGGAAAAAUGUAUCCUACAUUAGUCCUACUGGGACAUGACUAGUCAACUAUUUCUCUACUUUCUUUUUUAUCUUCUGAAUUGAUAUUAAUAUACAACAAUAUUUAUUAAUUUAGAAUAUAUAUAUACAAUUCAUAUGUAUAUUUAUAUUUUAUAGAAAUGAUUACAAUUCACCCUAUAUUUUAUUUGUCAGAACAAAGAGGCUAGCUAGCUAAGAAAAACAAAUCAGAAAUAAAAAUAAAAGGAAAACUACAGUGAAACACUGAGACAAGAACAAACCUGCUACCACAAAUUAAAAUUAUAAAAAGUGAGUAAUGAAGGUUUCCCAUCUGAAACCUAAUCAAUUUGCCUUCAGACAAUCAAGGGGUGCCUGUAGCUUGGGGAAUUCAUAUUCAGAAUAAAAAUACAGGCAUUUGUAAAGUGUACAAGUUAAAGCUGUCUUUGCCUGAAUGAAAUAAUGGAGAUAGUAUUUUAAACAAAGUUACCAUAAAAAUUCGUAUCAUGAGCAAAAUUACCAACUUCAACUAUUUUCAUAGCUUGUGAAGGGAUAUUUUUUUCUAUAGUAUUUAUUAUUCUGGCAUAAUAUCAAGAUACUGUGAAGGAUGGGAUUAAUCUGAGUUUAUCAGAAGAGGCCUCUUUAAUAGCCAAACAGGCACUGAUGUGUCCAGUAAUCUAUCUAGAACUAGGGCAGCAGGACAAUAACUACUUGUUCAACAGCCAUAUUUAUCUUCAAAGAUUGUAGCAAUUAACUUAAAUGUAAAUGUCCAAAUUCUUCACGCUUCAAGUUAACAGACAGGAAUUUCUCUUGGAAGGAUUCAGUUUUCAUAAGUGACCAGGGACAGUUUUGAACACAUAAGUGUGCAUAUUUGUAAAUCCUUCAUUUAUUCCUACCCAUUGUUCUGCAGUCAAUUCUGCUUUCUCACAUAAAUUGCAUAUAUCAAAAUGUCUCAUAAAUGAUAUUCAGAUAGUAUCAUCUGUGAGAUUCUGGAAGAAUCAUUAAAAUUGGAGUCUCCAGGGUCUCAUUUAGACCUUAAUAUAAUGAAAAGUAAUCUUCAUUUCUAGAUCCUCAUGCUCUGAUAAUUCCAGAAAUAUGCUGUGUCCAAGUUGUUUGUUUCUUGAACAGUAGUAUUCCAGAAUGUUUCAUAAUAUCAUCUUGAAUAAUUAUGCAAAUAUUUUACCAUCUGUAUCAGUAAUACUUCAACUAACAUUAUCUUGAAACUCUUUCAUCAUUACUGUUUAGGGUUGUUGGCAUAUAGUCAUUCAAAAAUGAACUAAAAUGAACUUUUCUCUUACUCUGAAAUUUAAAAUCAUUUCUUUCCAGUUUUCCAUUCUGCAUUUCCAAAGUAAAUUAACUAAUAAAUGCCAGACUUGGUUACAUCUUGUUCUUGUUGGAAUAAAAAUAAAUAAAUAAAAUAAACUCAAUGUACUCAAAUAAUGCAGAACUAAUUGUGUUAUAUAUGACAUUAUUUUAUAUAAUUAUAUUCUCUUCUUAGAUUACACCGUUCUCCAAACACUAGCUUAGCACUGCUUUUAUUUCUUUGAGAGAUAUACUUUUCAUUUUUGUCUGUUGUAAAGUAACUUUACUAAAAUAAGUUUGAUACUGUUGCACCCAGUAUUUAUAAAUAAGUAGUCAGCAAAACCUGUAGCUGUAGAUACACACAUUUCUUCUAAUGAAUCCUUAUUCUUGUAGACUAUUCAAUAAUCUUUGAACAACGGCAUGUUUGUGACUAAGCUAUACUAAUAAAACAUCAAAUAUCUUAUCAAGAUAACUGAGCUUGUUGAGGAAAACCACAAGCCAGUAGCAGAAGACCUAAAAAAUAGAAGCAAUAGAUUAUAAAAGAAGCCCUGAAAAUAAAAACAUGGCAUUUGCACCAGUCACUAAAGAGAUGACAUCUCAUUAAUUAGAUAAAACCAGUUCUAAAGGUAAUCAGUGAAGAAAGAGCAAGUGGACACAGGUAACAAAUAUGCAAGAAUAUUCAAGCUCAUUCCAGGUAGGGGAGAAAUCAUUGAUACAGUAACCACCAUUUUAUUUACUCUAGUGGAAAAGAUUGGUGAUUUUCCAGGAUAUUUUCCUUUUUUCUUGAAAACUAGAAAAAUCAGGUGUAGGAUGCAGAGGAGGAAAAGAAGAAUGUAAAUACCAUGGGAGAGAGGAGAUCAGUACAAAAAAAAAAAAAAAAAAAAAAAAAAAAAGUGUUUCAGUUUUAACUAUUAUCGUCAUUGUCAAUUAACGAUAACAAGUGGAUGAUUUCAAAUAGUUUUAUCAGUAUUAUUCUGAUCAGACUAGUAAUAUUUAUUUGAAUAGACUCUCAGGGCUUUAACUGGACCACCACCAAUAAGUU
rnacentral:lncRNA from 1 species